rnacentral:rRNA from 1 species
CGUAGGGUGCGAGCGUUAAUCGGAAUUACUGGGCGUAAAGCGUGCGCAGGCGGUUUGUUAAGAUAGGCGUGAAAUCCCCGGGCUCAACCUGGGAACUGCGCUUAUGACUGGCAAGCUAGAGUACGGCAGAGGGGGGUGGAAUUCCACGUGUAGCAGUGAAAUGCGUAGAGAUGUGGAGGAACACCAAUGGCGAAGGCAGCCCCCUGGGUCGAUACUGACGCUCAUGCACGAAAGCGUGGGUAGCAAACAGGAUUAGAUACCCUGGUAGUCCACGCCCUAAACGAUGUCAACUAGGUGUUGGAUGGGUAAAACCAUUUAGUACCGGAGCUAACGCGUGAAGUUGACCGCCUGGGGAGUACGGCCGCAAGGUUG